UUUGUUUGAAUGUAAAAAUAUGAUUUUUCAAGAAUUUUGAAUUUUGGAUUUGGAGAUCUCCAUAGAGCUCGGCCUCCCAAAGCAAUUGCGCAUAAUAUACACUAAUAUAAAUAAAAAAAUUAUAGAGUCGUGGGACAAAAACAAUUCUGCUACAGCCAGCACUCUCAGUCUCUUUCUCCUCGCUGCUCACCCCUUUCCCAUUCAGCUAGCCACCCAUGACCCACCCUGCUCCCCUGUGCAGCCGCCGGCGCGUCAUGGCGCACGGCACCCAUCCCGGCCCAACCUCCCACCCCGCGCCUCCGAACCGUCCCUACAGCCUACCUGUGGCGUCGCGAGCCUCCCACACCGCGCCCCCAUCACUCCCUGCUGUCCGGCGAGAUCCGGGGGGCAGGCAGACGCGCGCACAGUCUGGGCGGCGGCAUCCACCGCGCGGCGCUCCCUGCCCCGCGCCCCCGCCGCGAUGACGCCACGUUGGUCCGAAUCAUCGGGUGGUAACGCCCGGCGACUGGCGCGCGCCGUGCAGCGUGAGGUGGGCUCGAUCUGCAUCCACCGGUGGGAUCGGGCUCCUCAUUUUGGAGACCCUGCCGCAAGCUGUGCUCGGCCGGAUGGGCGGAGAUCGAUGAGGAGUGGAUUCCGUGGUGCAGCACGACGCCGACGGCUUCUCUUCGCCACCGAGCUCUGCUCCCCUCCCUAUGCGUCAGGAUCAGGGUGCCCACGGAUCUUACCUUGUCACGGUCGGCUCUCGUCUCUCCCUCCGCUUUUGGUAGCUCUGUUGGAUUGGCACCGCCGAUGAAAUUCGAUCUUAGAGGUAAACAAAAAUCUGGAGGUAGAUUGAAUCUAUCUUAUAUAUACUCAGUUUGAAAGAUAGCUAGGAGUAGAUGUGUUGUAAUCAGAAUACAGUUAUGAUUAAGUUUAUUUUAUGAGAUGAGGAUAAAAUCUUUCUUGGGUUGUCUGGAUACGGAGUUUUUGCCAGUUCUGUUUCCCAUAAACUCGUUUAAAGGUCUAACCACCUGAAAUGAGUUAGCGUACCAAAAAUAUAGUUUUUUAGGGGCAGAAAUAAGUAAAACUUCGUUUUAGUACAACAAGAAAAGUGGGUCUUAAUAGUUUUUCUAUAAACAGUUUUAGCCGUUCCUAUUCAAAAAGGCAUGCUUCAGAAAAAGAAAAAACUCUGGUCAAGGAGGCUUAGCUUCCUCUUCCUGGAGAGUCAACCUUCCAAUCCUGACCAAAUUCUAAUUGUACACAAACACACAAUGCAUUUCAACAAAGCAAAACACAACGGGGAAUCAUACAGAUUUAUGCAAGGUAACCUGACAUAAAAGUCAGCACUGUCCAAUGGUCACAUUCAUAUUGAUGUACCAAUUGUAAAAAAUGAACGCAAAGCUCGGUCUGCAUCUUUUGGCAAAUGAGCUCAGCAUAACGCGCUAUUGUGGUAUUGCCAAAGCUUCCAUUCCGAGGUCCUUGCCAUUUUGCAGGUUAGCGAUGCUUGUAUUCAGGGUCUAAUAUGACUCAUUCUCCAGUCACCACAAUGCUCUUGCUGAAUAGCUUAAGGGUUGAUUUUUCUAAUCCUGUACAUGGCACUUUGGAAUCACCGUCUACAACGAAUUUUGAGGCCUGAAUUUAAGGACACAUGUUUGCUAAAUCUUAUCACAGAGCUACAGAAAAAAGCAGACGAACAGAUUAUGUUCCUUUUGUUCAUAUCGAGGUAUCUAUUGUCUUGAAAGACUCAUCCUUUAAUAGUAGAGAUAGUAGAGAUAUGAGGAGCUCACUGAUGGCAAACUCAGCUCGAAUUUAGGUUCUUUGUAAAUUAUCAGAUACAUAGUUCCUUAUCCAUGUAUUUCCAACGAGAGAUUGUAUGGAACUGAAGUUUAAGUCAGUUUUUUAAUUGCUACUCCCUCCUUCCCAUAUUCUUAGGCGUAUUAGUAGCCAGCAUGAAAAUCAGCGUAGUUUAAUUGUUACUUGAACCAUCGUACAUGCUGUUGAGAUGUAAGCAUCAACGAAAGACCCAGCCAGAGAUUUGUUUUUGUUUCCAAAAAAAUAGCGACUGUGAGUGGUUGUUGUAACUGAAUGAGAGAGAGAAAGGCAUCCGCGCCUUAGAUUUUGGGACUGCAUGCAAAAACUUACGCGCCUAAGAUUUUGGGAAGGAGGGAGUAUAUGAUAUUAGAUGCCUCAGGUUUUUACCAUAUUAAAAAGCGUAUGCCUUAGAAAGAAAUAAGACACCUUGGUAUUUUUGUUCUUCUAUAGCAAGUCACUGUCCAAGCAUCUUCAUCCUUAAUCGGUUUUCAAUUUCACGCUGUCUCUUGUUAUUUCCAGCUUAAACAGGUGCAUAUUCGACUAAGUAUAGAACGGGAAGAUGUCGCGAAAGGAAUACUCAUGGUUUCUGAAGACUGAUUAUGCUCACAAACUCAGGUUAGUGUGCAUUAAGAUCUACAAUAGUAAUGCAGAAUUGAACAUACUUUACCUGAGUUGUUAUAAUUUGAUCUGGCGACUUCAUGUGCUAAGGACUUCCUUGUAGGCUAUGUUCUUCAUGGUCGUUAAUAAGGGUUCAAAUCUUUUUCGCUUCUUUGAAAUCUUGCUUUGUUCCUUGCCCUUGCCCUUACCCUUGCCUUUACCCUUACCGUUGUUCUUGAUGGCGAGAAUCUUAAUGUUCCUCUUCGCGUUGGCUGUAGACAAUGCAACGUAGAGCUGACCGUGAGAGAAAUAUUUGUAACUGUAUUGUACUGUGAUUAAGAGGACUUUAGCAAGAUUCUUUAUGGAACAGGGGUCUUCAAUAUGAACUUGAGUCUGGGAACUGAAAUUGGGUGAAAAGCAUGUCAAUCUCACGACAUCAAUUCUUAAAUUUUUUACUUUGUUACAUUUGCUUUCACUCAUUUGCAUAGAGUGGACUUGCUGCAAAGACAAGUUUGAGAUGCCAUGUCGCACACGUCCACAUUAGCACACAUUAUACAUUUGUUUCAUGUAUUAAUUCCCAGAAGUUGAUGAGCCUAAUGAAGCACCUUCACAAUUUGGUAGCUGGUACAUAGCUUAAAAUCCUGCAUGCUUUGUUCAAUGUACUUGGAGUAGUACUUAAAGAUGCAAUCUGAGUACCACUAUAUUUUUGAGGUCACAUCAUGAAGUUCGGAACAGGAGUUUAGUAUCUUUCUGAUGUAAAAAACUUUGCUGAAACAGUUGAGGAUUGCAAACCUAGGGCAUGGUGGGCACCAUCGAACAUAACAAAGGUGGAUCUCAGUCCUUUGCCGUCGGAGAGGCAAAAGACGGUAGGUGAGAACUGUGAAGAUGAUGGCAGGAGGAUGUAGCGGCAGCAUCAGGAGAUAUAGACGCAGCAACAGCCGUCGAGCGCAGGUUCUGGUUCUGGGGCGCCGAGGUUGCGGUUUAGCAGAGGCUGCGCUCGCACAGCUCGCCGCUCGCGUGAGAACGAUGUGGCCGGACGGCGAGUGAACUGGCGAUUCUCUCCUUGACGUAGUGGCCGGACGGCGAGUGAACUGGCGAUUCUUUCCUUGACAUAGUGCGUCCGUGGGUCGAUGGAGCUCGUACGCGAGCAAGAACUGGCGUUUCUCUCCCUGGAGACGUGCGUUCGUGGGUCGAUGGAGCUCAUACGCGAGGAAGAACUGGCGUUUCUCUCCCUGGAGACGUGCGUUCAUGGGUCGAUGGAGCUCGUACGUGAGGAAGAACUGGCGNN
rnacentral:lncRNA from 1 species